AUCAACUUUCGAUGGUAGGAUAGAGGCCUACCAUGGUGGUAACGGGUAGCGGGGUGUUAGGGCACGACACCGGAGAGGGAGCCUGAGAAACGGCUACCACAUCCAAGGAUGGCAGCAGGCGCGCAAAUUACCCAAUCCCGACACGGGGAGGUAGUGACAAUAAAUAACAAUACGGGGUUCUUUCGGAUUUCGUAAUUGGAAUGAGUACAAUUUAAAUCUCUUAACGAGGAACAAUUGGAGGGCAAGUCUGGUGCCAGCAGCCGCGGUAAUUCCAGCUCCAAUAGCGUAUAUUAAAGUUGUUGCAGUUAAAAAGCUCGUAGUUGAAUUUCGGGAUCGACGGGUCGGUCGCGCCUCUGGUGUGUACUGGCCCUGUCGGUUUCUCCCUUCUGACGAACCACGAUGUCAUUAAUUUGGUGUCGUGGGAAAUCAGGACUGUUACUUUGAAAAAAUUAGAGUGUUUAAAGCAGGCAUUCGCUUGAAUACAUUAGCAUGGAAUAAUGAAAUAGGACGUUUGAUCUUAUUUUGUUGGUUUCUAAGAUCGACGUAAUGAUUAAUAGGGAUAGUUGGGGGCAUUAGUAUUCAAUUGUCAGAGGUGAAAUUCUUGGAUUUAUUGAAGACUAACUACUGCGAAAGCAUUUGCCAAGGAUGUUUUCAUUAAUCAAGAACGAAAGUUAGGGGAUCGAAGACGAUCAGAUACCGUCGUAGUCUUAACCAUAAACUAUGCCGACUAGGGAUCGGAUGAUGUUAAUUUUUUAAUGACUCAUUCGGCGCCUUACGGGAAACCAAAGUGUUUGGGUUC
rnacentral:rRNA from 1 species